UAAGAAGCAAGAGAUCAUUAAAAUAAGUUACUAGGGCUUCUAAGAGAUAGUGGGAGUAAUUUAAUGAUAGAAGAGCCAGACAUUGCCGAAAAUCCAAAUUAAUUCUUUGCUUGACUGUUCAUGGGGGAGAAGGAGGGAUGGUAGCAAACAGAAUCCAUUUUUCUAAAAGAGACAAAAAGAAAUGCAGAAAUGGAUGGGGAAAGGCAGAAUGCACUUUGGUGAUAAAGAAAGGGGAUGGAGAGGCUAAAAAAAAUUCUGCCAAGAAUUUGACAAAAUCCUUCGAACAAGGCAAUGUAUACUUUGAUUCUUGAUGACUUACUACAAAGAAGAAGAAGACAAAGAAGAAGGAGGAGAAGGAGAAAAAGAAGAAAAUCUACAUAAAAUCAUUCAUAUCCCACAAAACAGAAGCAGAAAAAUUAACAAGGAAACAAAUUCAUUCAUAGACUCCUUUCCAAGUUCAUUGAAGUUCUACAGUUUGGACUUUGUGUUUUUCUUUUUCUAUGUAGUCAGCAAUGCAUAAAUCUUGCAGUCCUGAUGAUCUUGUUUUGUUAGGUCUUUCCCUACUUUCUUUUAUUCUUUGUAUCUACUUUCUAUAAUAUUUUAUUUUAU